GGUCUGAGGGAGGAGGGCUGGAGCCUCAAGCCUGGGUUCUCACCCUGGCCCUUCCUCCUUCCAG
rnacentral:miRNA from 1 species